rnacentral:siRNA from 1 species
CAGAAUUGUGAAUAUACUAACCGC